rnacentral:rRNA from 1 species
AUGACCAGAAGUUCCCAUAUAUCUCCUGCAACAAAAACCGAAGACCAUAAUUUUCCAUACAUCUAUGGCCCUGCCACAAAACCCGAAGACAUGAAGUUUCCUUAUAUCUAUGGCCCAUCUAUGAAAACCAACGACCAGAAAUUUCCUUACAUCUACGCCCCAUCCACAAAAACCGAUGACCAAAAUUUUCCAUAUAUCUUUGGCCCUGACACUAAAACAAACGACCAGAAGUUUCCAUACAUCUAUGGCCCAACCACAAAACCAAACAACCAAAAGUCUCCAUACAUCUACGGGCCAACCACAGAUGACCAGAAAUUUCCAUACAUAUAUGGAUCCGCUACGAAAUCUGAUAGCCAGAAUUUUCCAUAUAUCUAUGGCCCAACCAUGAAAACCAGUGACCAAAAAUUUCCAUACAUCUAUGGCCCAGCCAUGAAAACUGAUGACCAUAAGUUUCCAUACAUCUAUGGUCCGGCCACGAAAACCAAUGAUCAAAAGUUUCCGUACAUCUACGGCCAAGACAUGACAACUGAGGACCACAAAUUUCCAUACAUCUACGACCAAGACACGAAAAAUGAUGACCAGAAGUUUCCGUAUAUCUACGGCCCACACACGAAAACUGAUGACCUGAAGUUUCCAUACAUCUACGCCCUAGCCACAAAAACCGGUGAGGUGAAGUUUCCCUACAUAUAUGGUCCAACCAUGGGAACAAAUGGCAAGAAUUAUAAGUUUCCAUAUAUAUACGGCCUAGAAAGGAAUGUCGACGACCAGAAGACCACAAGGAGCAAAGGUUUUCCAGGAAUUAGCACGAUGGGCGCGUCCAAUCUGCAAGAAAAGGUGAGCGAGGGAGACGUUCACAUCCAUGGAGACUUCACGUUCACGGAAGACAUCGUGAAACUAGGAUCUACAAUCAUCCCUUACAUCCUACCAUCAGCUACCUUAGGUGCUCCUUUGCUGCAGCGUGACAUCGCUGACUCCAUCCCCAUUUCCAUGAGGAACUUCAAUGGCAUCAUGAAAAUGUUCACGUCAGUAUCUUACACCAUGGCAAACGACAUAUGGUCGACCCUGAACAUGUGUGAGAAUGUGCACCCUCUCAACGGCGAGAAGAAAACAUGUAUCGGCUCCGUGGAAUCAAUGGUCGAGUUUGUCUCAUCGAUGCUCGGGAGUACACGCGACCUACAAGCUUUCUCCUCAUCCCAAGUGCCCAAUGAAGGUGUGGUGACAAGGAGGAGGUACAAAGUAGUGGCGUCAUGA